GCUUGCUUUGGCAGUGCAUAUACUAAAAUUAGAACGAUACAGAGAGUAUUAGCAUGGCCCCUGUGCAAGGAUGACACACAAAUUCAUAAAGUGUUCCUUAUUGUU